rnacentral:rRNA from 1 species
AGCGAACGCUGGCGGCAGGCUUAACACAUGCAAGUCGAGCGGGCGUAGCAAUACGUCAGCGGCAGACGGGUGAGUAACGCGUGGGAACAUACCUUUUGGUUCGGAACAACACAGGGAAACUUGUGCUAAUACCGGAUAAGCCCUUACGGGGAAAGAUUUAUCGCCGAAAGAUUGGCCCGCGUCUGAUUAGCUAGUUGGUGAGGUAACGGCUCACCAAGGCGACGAUCAGUAGCUGGCUGAGAGGAUGAUCAGCCACAUUGGGACUGAGACACGGCCCAAACUCCUACGGGAGGCAGCAGUGGGGAAUAUUGGACAAUGGGCGCAAGCCUGAUCCAGCCAUGCCGCGUGAGUGAUGAAGGCCCUAGGGUUGUAAAGCUCUUUUGUGCGGGAAGAUAAUGACGGUACCGCAAGAAUAAGCCCCGGCUAACUUCGUGCCAGCCGCCGCUGUAAC